rnacentral:rRNA from 1 species
UGGGGAAUAUUGCACAAUGGGGGAAACCCUGAUGCAGCGACGCCGCGUGAAGGAAGAAGUAUCUCGGUAUGUAAACUUCUAUCAGCAGGGAAGAUAGUGACGGUACCUGACUAAGAAGCCCCGGCUAACUACGUGCCAA